GACCUGAGCUCAGGCAAGAUUACCCGCUGAACUUAAGCAUAUCAAUAAGCGGAGGAAAAGAAACCAACCAGGAUUCCCCUAGUAACGGCGAGCGAACCGGGGAUCAGCCCAACUUGAAAAAUCUCCCUUUUUGGAGAAUUGUAGUCUACAGAAGUGCCCUCUGUGGCCGGAGAAGCUCAAGUUUCGCUGGAAGGCGGCGUCAAAGAGAGUGAGAACCCCGUCAGCUUCUUCUUGGCCGCACCACAGAGG
rnacentral:rRNA from 1 species